rnacentral:rRNA from 1 species
GGAGUUAGCCGGUGCUUCUUCUGUGAGUGAUGUCCUUCCUGCCGGCUAUUAACCCGCAGGCCUUCUUCCUCACUGAAAGUGCUUUACAACCCGAAGGCCUUCUUCACACACGCGGCAUGGCUGGAUCAGGGUUGCCCCCAUUGUCCAAUAUUCCCCACUGCUGCCUCCCGUAGGAGUCUGGGCCGUGUCUCAGUCCCAGUGUGGCUGAUCAUCCUCUCAGACCAGCUACGGAUCGUCGCCUUGGUGAGCCGUUACCUCACCAACCAGCUAAUCCGACAUAGGCUCAUCCGAUAGCGCGAGGCCCGAAGGUCCCCCGCUUUCCCCCGUAGGGCGUAUGCGGUAUUAGCCUGGGUUUCCCCAGGUUAUCCCCCACUACCGGGCAGAUUCCUAUGCAUUACUCACCCGUCCGCCGCUCGCCACCAGGGAGCAAGCUCCCCGUGCUGCCGCUCGACUUGCAUGUGUUAGGCCUGCCGCCAGCGUUCAAUCUGAGCCAGANACAACUACUCGACUCGAGCGGCGGUCGCGACGGACGCGAUAG